rnacentral:snRNA from 1 species
GCGCUUGCUUCGGUAGCACAUAUACUAAAAUUAGAAUGAUACAGAGAAGGUUAACAUGGCCCCUGAGCAAGGAUGACACGCAAAUUUGUGAAGCGUUCCAUAUUUUU